rnacentral:rRNA from 1 species
GGUGAAAGGCCAAUCAAACUUGGAGAUAGCUGGUUUUCUGCGAAAUCUAUUUAAGUAGAGCGUUUUAAAAUCUUUAUUUUGGGGUAGAGCACUUGAUAAAUGAUGGGGACGUAAAGUUUUACUGAUUUUAAUAAAACUUCGAAUACGAAAUAAAAGAAUUAAGAUAGUCAGACUAAAGGUGCUAAGAUCUUUAGUCAAAAGGGAAACAGCCCAGAUUAUUUGUUAAGGUCCUUAAAAAUAAUUAAGUGAAAAAGAAAUUAAAAAAAAUAUGACGACUAGAAGGUAGGUUUGGAAGCAGCCAUCCUUUAAAGAAAGCGUAACAGCUCACUGGUCUAAAUAAGGGUUUCUGCGCCGAAGAUGUAACGGGGCUCAAGCCACGAGCCGAAGCUUAGGGUGUGAUCCGCAAGGGUCACGCGGUAGCGGAGCGUUCUGUAAGCCUGCGAAGGUGUCUUGUAAAGGAUGCUGGAGGUAUCAGAAGUGCGAAUGCUGACAUGAGUAACGACAAUGGGUGUGAAAAACACCCACGCCGAAAGACCAAGGUUUCCUGCGCAACGUUAAUCGACGCAGGGUUAGUCGGUCCCUAAGGCGAGGCUGAAAAGCGUA